rnacentral:lncRNA from 1 species
AUGACUAGCAGGGACUAUCACCCAGCCUCAGAAAAACAGGCAGAGGCGCAGCUGUGCGCCCUACCUUGCAAACUUCUCCCCGAGCGCAGCCCCUUCAGCAGCAGCCCGGGAGACCCGCUCCUACCCAGUGCCCAGCCCAGGACCCGCUCCCGGCCCAGGCCCAGAGCUUCCUCCAGACCUGGCUUCCUCCCCCGUUACCACUCACCCGGGGGCCACGACCUGGCCCGGCUGCGCGCACAGCUCUCGCACCACGCCCGCGCGCUCCGACCUCAGCCUGCGCUCCGCGCGCACGCAGCCUCCGGAGCCGGUGCGGACAGGGGCGGGCCCGGAGGGCUGCGAGCGAGCAGGACACGUGGGCCUCUGGGGUCUCGAGGCCACCACCAGCACUGAGAGGGCACUGAGAACAAAAACCCCCAAGUCUUCCUUUUCUCAGGAAACGUCCCCUUUCACGCAACAACCGUGAGCCCCCACCCGGCUCGGGCGAGGGACCCGCCCCCAGGCCGCCAGGAGGCCCCGCCCAUUUCCUCCUGCGUUGCCACGGUGACAGCCCCAGCUGGGCGGCCAAAAUAACUUAGAAAACAGGAGCCCGGGGCGGGAAGCGGGGCCACGCCCGCCCGGCCCGCAGCAGAGCAGCUAUUUCCUGAGACCCAGAGGGAAGCAGCAGCAGCAAGCCUCCCCAGGAGGGAAGCCCCCCGCCAGCCUCCUCCCCAGUGGGGCCAGGGCAGCCCCUGUUGGGCAAACAACACCCUGCCCAGACCAGGGCGGGUUAUUUUUAAAACUCUGCUUGCUUUCUUCCAACAAAUGGUGACUGACUAUCGGCACCUGCCAAGCUCGCUGCACAUAAGGAACCCCAGCACCCAGGCCUCCUCGAACGCGGGGGUGUCACUCACUCUAGAGCAAGAGGUGGCAUGAGCGACAGGUGACAGGUGAGAAGAUGGUGAGGGUGAGGGGCCCUCUGGUCAGGGAAGGCUGAGUCCUUUUGAGAAAGUGCCCAUUUUGGGCUGAGUAUAAAUCCCCUCCCAAGCUCUGUCACCUCACUUCACAAUCAACCUCAGAGUUGGUCAGUCAUUCACUUAUUUCUGUCCAAGUUCAUCCCAGAAAUAAUGUGAAGUCAUUUCUGUCACCCAUUCAGAGCUGAAGAAUUUAAUAUAACAAUGUAACCACUAACUUAAUAAUUACAAUUUAAUGUUAGUAUUUAAUAAGAACAAGAAGACUGUACUUUAUUGAUAGCUUCUGAAACUUAGAAGCAACCAAGAUGUCCUUGGGUAAGUGAAUGGAUAAACUGUGAUCCAAUCCAGACGAGAUAUUAUUCAGCACUAGAGCCAUCAAGUCAGGAAGAGGCCUGGAGGAGACCCAAGUUGAGUGUCACUGAGUGAAAGGAGGCAAUCUGAAAAGGCCGCACCCUCUGCAUCCAGCGUCCCAACUGUAGGACACUCUGGGAAAACUAGGGACACAGUGACCAGGUCAGUGGUCGGGGGCCGGGGAGGUGGGAUGAACGGGCGGGGCAGCGAAAGCGCUCUGAAUGACCCCACUAUGGUGGACACGUGUCGUGACACAUUCAUCCAAACCCACAGGAUUAAACACCCAGAGGGAACAUUAUGUAAACUACAGACUUUGGGUGAUGAUGUGUCCAUGUAGGCUCAUCGACUGUACAAGCGUCCCAUCUAGGGGAGAUGUCCAUAGUUGGGGGGCUGUGCCUGUGGGUGCAGGGGGCACACAGGAAAUCUCCAUACCUUCCUCUCAGUUCUGCUGUAAACCUAAACCUGCUCUGAAACAGUCGUAAUAAAAAGUAUGAGUGUCUCUCACAUAAAUAGAUAAAAGGGAUGCUUUCUUCUAAUGCCAUGACAAGGUGAAGGCACCACCUCGUCUCUGCCCAGAGCUCUCUCCAGCUGCCUGAUGCCCCUCCACCAAGGCCCGGUGAAUGCUGGGCCCCAGGUGCCGGUAUCCUGGAGGCAUUCCUGCAGGAGGCUUUCCUGCAGGAGGCUUUCCUGGGACUGUGGUCCCUGGAGGCUGGGGUGGGUAGGGGUAUCCACUUGGCAACGAUGCUGAAGGAGCACCUUGAGAAUGUUGCUCAGCUUGCUGUCAGGGGAGCAGACAUGCGCAGAGAGCGAGGGGGCUGCGAGGCCUUCCCCUGACUCCAGGGGACUCCCAAGCACAGGCCUCUGCGCUGACCAGGUUAGCCUUCUGGGGCGGCACAGCCUGAGGGCACAGGAUGCGCGUGGCACUCUGUCCCCACCCGGCUUUCACCCCCUGGAGCGGCCAGGGGCGCAGUUCACACAUCAGGCCUCUCAUCAGAUACAUCUGCUAAGGAGACUGGAAAGGGGGCUGGAUACCCAGGGAGAAUGCAUGCUGGUGGAAACAGCCCAGACAGCCUAGCCAAGACCUGUGUCCAGACAGCCAAACCCAAGCGCGUCCAGAAGGCCUGCGGGGCCCGCUCCUCCACCUCGAGCCCCACAUCUGUUCAGAAAACUGCCACGCUCUCCCACCCUCGCCUGCCUUGGCUGCCACCCACCCAAAGGCCUGGGGACCCACAGCCCAGGAAGAGGAAAAGGGAGGCCAUCCAAGGAGGACUGAUUCAGGCCACACUGGCCUGGUUGGAACAUUUGUUUUUUUAAAAAACGAGCAGGACGCUGCAGUUUUAAAAGAGGGGUGGUGAAUGAUACGGAAAAUAUUAUACAGUCAUUGCAGAGCUGGGCACCCAACGGUGCCAAGCUGCUGGGCUCAGCUUCACCACUUCCCCGCCACGUGGGCAGGGCCAGAGAGAGUGUCCUGAAGACAAACAAAAAAGGAGGCUGACAGGGGACACAAGAGACAGGUGGGGCAGUUCACUGUAUCAAGGGCAUCAGGGGGGGGGCCGGGUUGCAGGGGGGGGCGCCGGGCUCCGUCCUCUUGGGGCAGCCUCCAGCUCAGGCCCAGUCUUCCUGCAAAACUGGGUGACUGCUCAAUGUCUCAUUCCUAUUGGAGAGCACACACCCCGUCCCUGGGCUGGAGGGUUCCUGCAUCAGCUGCCUGUUUAAGUAGAACCUUUAUUUUUGACAGAGAAGAGAAAAUGAAAGAAAGAAAAGGCCGGCGAACUCGGUGGUCGCUGGGCCUGAAGGCUGCUUCCCCUGGGACUUUUCUUGGUGGGGCGGGAGGUUUGAGCGCUGAGGGCACAAGGAGCCUGGAGGGCAGACGUAGGGGGGCCCCGGCCCCCCCCCCCCGCGGGGGGGGGGGGGAGGGGGGGCCUCAACAUCCCCAA